ensembl:lincRNA
UCCUGGGUGGGGGCCACAAGAUUAGAUGAGCCAGUUUAUUGAUCUGGGUGGUGCCAGCUAAACCAUCAAGUGCAGGGUCUGCAAAAUAUCUCAAGCAUUGAUUUUUUUUGUUUGUUUUUUGUUUUUUGUUUUUUUUUGCGGCGCACUUGUACUUUUAUCACGGACAAUAUGCCCCCAUUCACAUCCACAAAUCAGUGCUGUCCAGGCCACACCCAGGAGCCCCUGUCCAACCACUGCCCUCCCAGGGCCUCGCCCAGGCUUCCGUCACAUACUCACUAGGACGCACAGCAGCUCUUCCACUCUUACCUGAGGUUGUAUUUUAAAAGCACAUGCUCGUUGUAAACACUUCCAACAAUGCAGAAAUGAGCAAGGGGAAAGUGGAACUUGCUGUGGACAAGGCCACAGGACCACACUUUCGUUCCUGUUGGGAUGCCUGGGUCGGUUUCACAGGUCGCCUCGCAGUCCUGCAGGCUGAACUCGUCUGUCUGGGCGCCCUGUGCUGCCUACCUCCUGGGCACUCUGGGGCGAUGUGGACGGAUGCGCUCUUUUCUAAGGUUCGGUGCGUGCAGUCAGGAAUCUGCACCAAGAAUGAUCUGUCCAUCAGUGAGGGAGAGUCCUCCCUGGGAGGGGCUUCCGUGCCUCCCAUUCUGGGCACUUCCGGACUUUCUGCAGGAAGUGCUGUCUCUGAGUCAUUCUGUUUUGUCCCGAGGCUGCUGCGAGGACGGAGACAGGAGAAGUUCAUUUGGAGACAUAUAGAAGUGGAUUUAAAAAUGUCCACAGAAUAUUUCAGAACUGCUCACAUGUAUGGAGAUGAGGAUGAUCAGUUUUUCAGCAGAUGUUUGCCGUUUACUUUUACAAGGCCACAGGUAAUUAUACCAAAAUAUUAUACAAUCAUAACCUUCAAUCUGCUCUUAUUGCCAAAAAUUUUGAACCAGUCUUGCAAGUUGAUUGUAAAUUCCAGGUAGUUUAAGAUGAACCUGAGGGAUAUUAUCAAGAGCUACAAGACUUUUACAUGAGAGUAUUUUUUCCACUAUAAUAAAGCACCAAAUGAAGCUUAUCAUAAAAAAUAAAAUUGCUU